CAAUUGGAGGGCAAGUCUGGCGCCAGCGGCCGUGGGCAUUCCAGCUCCAAUAGCGUAUAUUAAAAUUGUUGCAGUUAAAACGCUCGUAGUUGAACUUCAAGGGUAUACUUAUUAUAAGCAACUGACUUGGAAACAAUCAUGACUUCUGUCACUGCUUUUAUACUUGACGCACUUCUUUUAAUACAUGGCCCUUGGACAGCCCAUUGAUAUAUGACUGGGUUGCUCGUUACUUUGAGUGCAUUAUAGUGUUUAAAGCAAACAUAUUACGCGUGUUUUAGUGUGUUCGAAUACUAUAGCUUGGAAUAACAACAUUGAAUAGGUCAUUGAGUUUUUGAAGAAUUUUUCUUACUAAGGCUGAGAUACAGAUAAUAGGAGUAGCUAGGGGGCAUUUGAAAUGCAUAUGAAAAAAGUAAAUUUCUUAAAUGACCUGGUACAUCCGACUUCAACCUCUACUUGCUNNNNNNNCGNNNCUUNGUAACGACUAAUGUCAAGGAGUGACGACGAUCAUGUUCCGAAAUUAUCUUAACCAUCUACAGGACGCACUGGAUGUACGCAUACAUUUUAUUAUUUUAACUAUCAUGAUCUUAAAGAAAAUGAUGAUAGUUUCUA
rnacentral:ncRNA from 1 species